rnacentral:tRNA from 1 species
GAGGGGUCUUUCAAGGGCCCUGCAAGCCUGUGACCUGCAUAUACCUUCUAAGGCUUUGGUCUUGAAAACCGUUGGAGCGGGUAACCCCGUUCUCGUGGGUUCGAAUCCCACGCCCUCCG